CUUACAAUGAUUGGAUUUAAAAUUGUUUGACUUUAUGAUGGGCUUAUCAGGGUAUUAAAUGUGUUUCUGACUUACAGUAUUUUUGACUUACCACGUGUUUAUUGGGACGUAACCCCUUCCUAAGAUGAAGAGCAUCUGUAUACAUCCAGAAUCCUGUGGAGCAACUCAUAACCCAUGAGGAAUGGAAGCCGACAGACAGACUCAUCCCCAGGACAGGUGGUUCUCACUACAUCUCAUAAAGCUUCUUAGAAGAUCUUACAGGAUUGAGCAACCAGCCAGCCACAGCAGGGGCCAACUGGAUAACACGUCUUUGCAUAGGCUCUCCCUCUGUCCCUGUCACCCUCCCCUUUUCCUAACCUUGUUCCUUGGGAUUAUGUUUUGAAAUAAAUUAUUCAGAGAAAUGAAGCCAAAGCUGACCCAUUAGCCAAUAGCUAGGUUCUGUGAUGACAGAGCUUCUGGGCUAUAAUCGUUUACUGAGAAGCCAGCGUUCCUGAGGGGAUAAUGGCUCGUUCCAUUCAGCUGCAGCAUAGGAGUGAGGGCAGGGCAUUAGCAGAAGAUAACACCAGAAACGUGCUCUGGGGCCUGUUGAUGACUUUCUGUGCCAAGCACAGACAUUUAGCCUUUAUUCUGUAUGUGAUGGGAAGCCAGUGCCAGUGGUGGGUUUGAGCAGGGAACCAGCAACCAGUGGUGGGUUUGAGCAGGGAACCAGCAAUACUCAAGCUCUGCUUGGAUGGAGGCCAGUCAGGGAGGAGUUAGGGCAGGAGGACCAGUCAGGGAGGAGACUUAGGGCAGGAGGACCAGUCAGGGAGGAGACUUAGGGCAGGAGGACCGGUCAGGGAGGAGACUUAGGGCAGGAGUACUGGUCAGGGAGGAGACUUAGGGCAGGAGGACCGGUCAGGGAGGAGACUUAGGGCAGGAGGACCGGUCAGGGAGGAGACUUAGGGCAGGAGGACCGGUCAGGGAGGAGUUAGGGCUGGAGGACGGGUCAGGGAGGAGACUUAGGGCAGGAGGACCGGUCAGGGAGGAGUUAGGGCUGGAGGACCGGUCAGGGAGGAGUUAGGGCAGGAGGACUGGUCAGGGAGGAGACUUAGGGCAGGAGGACCGGUCAGGGAGGAGACUUAGGGCAGGAGGACCGGUCAGGGAGGAGACUUAGGGCAGGAGGACUGGUCAGGGAGGAGUUAGGGGAGGAGGACCGGUCAGGGAGGAGUUAGGGCAGGGGGAUUGGUCAGGGAGGAGUUAGGGCAGGGGGAUUGGUCAGGGAGGAGUUAGGGCAGGAGGACCGGUCAGGGAGGAGUUAGGGCAGGAGGACCGGUCAGGGAGGAGACUUAGGGCAGGAGGACUGGUCAGGGAGGAGUUAGGGCAGGAGGACCGGUCAGGGAGGAGUUAGGGCAGGAGGACCGGUCAGGGAGGAGACUUAGGGCAGGGGGAUUCGUCAGGGAGGAGUUAGGGCAGGAGGACCGGUCAGGGAGGAGUUAGGGCAGGAGGACUGGUCAGGGAGGAGUUAGGGCAGGAGGACAGGUCAGGGAGGAGUUAGGGCAGGAGGACGGGUCAGGGAGGAGUUAGGGGAGGAGGACUGGUCAGGGAGGAGUUAGGGCUGGAGGACCGGUCAGGGAGGAGUUAGGGCAGGAGGACCGGUCAGGGAGGAGUUAGGGCUGGAGGACCGGUCAGGGAGGAGUUAGGGCAGGAGGACCGGUCAGGGAGGAGUUAGGGCAGGAGGACCGGUCAGGGAGGAGACUUAGGGCAGGAGGACUGGUCAGGGAGGAGUUAGGGCUGGAGGACCGGUCAGGGAGGAGUUAGGGCAGGAGGACUGGUCAGGGAGGAGUUAGGGCAGGAGGACAGGUCAGGGAGGAGACUUAGGGCAGGAGGACCGGUCAGGGAGGAGACUUAGGGCAGGAGGACUGGUCAGGGAGGAGUUAGGGCAGGAGGACCGGUCAGGGAGGAGU
rnacentral:lncRNA from 1 species